AUUGAACGCUGGCGGCAGGCCUAACACAUGCAAGUCGAACGAGUGGCGGACGGGUGAGUAAUGUCUGGGAAACUGCCUGGUGGAGGGGGAUAACUACUGGAAACGGUAGCUAAUACCGCAUACCAUCAGAUGUGCCCAGAUGGGAUUAGCUUGUUGGUGGGGUAACGGCUCACCAAGGCGACGAUCCCUAGCUGGUCUGAGAGGAUGACCAGCCACCCUGGAACUGGGACACGGUCCAGCCGCCUACGGGAGGGAGCAGUGGGGAAUAUUGCACAAUUGGCGCAAGCCUGAUGCAGCGACGCCGGGUGGGGGCUGAAGGCUUUCGGGUUGUAUACCUCUUUCGGUAUCGAGCGCGUAGGUGGAGAAGAAGCGCCGGCUAACUACGUGCCAGCAGCCGCGGUAAUAC
rnacentral:rRNA from 1 species